GGGGAAGUAGCUCAAUGGUAGAGCAAAAAAAUUAUCCAAUUUCUUAGGAUGUUAAUGUUUCAUGCGAAACAAGGUUCGAGGUUUGAAUCCUCUCUUUUCCA
rfam:Daucus carota subsp. sativus cultivar DH1 chromosome 7, whole genome shotgun sequence.